UACAGAGACCUCAAGCGUUAUCCGGAUUCAUUGGGCGUAAAGCGCGGGUAGGCGGGCAUAUUAGUCAAAUGUCAAAUCUCCUGACUUAAUCGGGAAACUGCAUUUGAAACGGUAUGUCUCGAGGACAUGAGAGACCAGUGGAACAUAUGGUGUAGCAGUGAAAUGCGUUGAUAUCAUAUGGAACACCAAAGGCGAAAGCAUCUGGUUGGCAUGUUCCUGACGCUGAGCCGCGAAAGCGUGGGAAUCGAAUGGG
rnacentral:rRNA from 1 species